GGGAAAUUUGACAGAAUAUUUAACAAGGAUAUUACUUCUAAUCUCACUUUCUUUCCCAGUUCAAAGUAUUUGAAUCAGUAACUGUCAGAUAACGGUUACG